rnacentral:rRNA from 1 species
AUGAAGAAAGCGAUGGUGCUGCUGGCGACGGAGCCGGCGGAGAGGGACGCGAAGCUGGCGAGGGAGGCCCUGGGCAGGCGGGGCGACGACAGGGACGCGUGGGUGCUCAUCGAGGCCGCCUGCGCCGCCACGCCGGACCACCUCCUCAGGAAGGUGGGCGUCGCCGCCUGCCCUGCGUUCCAAGAACCGCUCAGGAAGCUGCUGGUGAGCCUGGUGAGGUCGUACCGGUGCGCGGAGGGGAGCGUGGACAUGGCCGUGGCGAAGCAGGAGGCCGCGCAGCUGGCGGAGGCCAUCCGGAGGAAGAAGCAGCCGCACGGCGGCGAGGUCGUCCGGAUCGUGAGCACCAGGAGCAAGCCGCAGCUCGCCGCCACGUUCCGGUGCUACAAGGAACAACAUGGCAGCGACAUCGAAGAGGACAUGAAGCAGUACAGCAGCAGCCAGUUUGCGAGGAUGCUCAAGAUUGCUGUCUGGUGCCUCACAUCUCCUGAAAAGCACUUUGCAGAGGUUAUCAGGUACUCCAUCUUAGGACUUGGAACAGACGAGGACGCGCUCACCAGGGCGAUCGUGUCCAGGGCCGACAUCGACACGAAAAAGAUCAAGCAAGAGUACAGGGUAAGAUUCAAGACGACGGUGACGGACGAUGUCGUCGGUGAUACCUCGGGGUAUUACAUGGAUAUCUUGCUGGCCUUGGUAGGGAAGGAGUGA